ACAGAACUUUCAGUAUCCACUGCAUCAUCUUCCCUGAUCAUAGAUAAUCUGGGAGAAAGUCCAAAGACAGAGGCAAAAAGUGUCACUAUAGAAGCAAAGAAAACUACACCAAAACAGGCAGUCCC